AGAGUUUGAUCCUGGCUCAGAACGUACGCUGGCGGCACGCCUAACACAUGCAAGUCGAACGAAGUAGCAAUACUUAGUGGCAGACGGGUGAGUAACAUGUAGGUAUCUGCCCUUUGGCCUGGAAUAACACGAGGAAACUUGUGCUAAUACCGGAUAAGUCUUUACGGAGAAAGCUUUAUGCACCAUUGGAUGAGCCUGCACUUGAUUAGUUUGUUGGUGGGGUAAUGGCCUACCAAGACUGUGAUCAAUAGCUGAUUUGAGAGGAUGAUCAGCCACAUUGGGACUGAGACACGGCCCAAACUCCUACGGGAGGCAGCAGUGGGGAAUCUUGCACAAUGGAGGAAACUCUGAUGCAGCGAUGCCGCGUGAGUGAAGAAGGCCUUUGGGUUGUAAAGCUCUUUCGUCGGGGAAGAAAAUGACUGUACCCGAAUAAGAAGGUCCGGCUAACUUCGUGCCAGCAGCCGCGGUAAUACGAAGGGACCUAGCGUAGUUCGGAAUUACUGGGCUUAAAGAGUUCGUAGGUGGUUGAAAAAGUUAGUGGUGAAAUCCCAGAGCUUAACUCUGGAACUGCCAUUAAAACUUUUCAGCUAGAGUAUGAUAGAGGAAAGCAGAAUUUCUAGUGUAGAGGUGAAAUUCGUAGAUAUUAGAAAGAAUACCAAUUGCGAAGGCAGCUUUCUGGAUCAUUACUGACACUGAGGAACGAAAGCAUGGGUAGCGAAGAGGAUUAGAUACCCUCGUAGUCCAUGCCGUAAACGAUGUGUGUUAGACGUUGGAAAUUUAUUUUCAGUGUCGCAGCGAAAGCGAUAAACACACCGCCUGGGGAGUACGACCGCAAGGUUAAAACUCAAAUGAAUUGACGGGGACCCGCACAAGUAGUGGAGCAUGUGGUUUAAUUCGAAGAUACGCGCAGAACCUUACCAACACUUGACAUGUUCGUCGCGACUCUAAGAGAUUAGAGUUUUCGGUUCGGCCGGACGAAACACAGGUGCUGCAUGGCUGUCGUCAGCUCGUGUCGUGAGAUGUUGGGUUAAGUCCCGCAACGAGCGCAACCCUCACUUUUAGUUGCCAUCAUUAAGUUGGGCACUCUGAAAGAACUGCCAGUGAUAAGCUGGAGGAAGGUGGGGAUGACGUCAAGUCCUCAUGGCCCUUACGUGUUGGGCUACACACGUGCUACAAUGGUAUCUACAACAGGAAGCAAAACGGCAACGUUAAGCAAAUCCCGAAAAGAUACCUCAGUUCGGAUUGCACUCUGCAACUCGAGUGCAUGAAGCUGGAAUUACUAGUAAUCGUGGAUCAGCGUGCCACGGUGAAUGCGUUCCCGGGUCUUGUACACACCGCCCGUCACACCAUGGGAGUUGGUUCUACCUUAAGGCAAGGCUUUAAACCCUUGACCACGGUAUAGUCAGCGACUGGGGUGAAGUCGUAACAAGGUAACC
rnacentral:rRNA from 1 species